rnacentral:rRNA from 1 species
AUUGAACGCUGGCGGCAGGCCUAACACAUGCAAGUCGAGCGGAGCGGCGGACGGGUGAGUAAUGCCUAGGAAUCUGCCUGGUAGUGGGGGAUAACGUCCGGAACCGGGCGCUAAUACCGCAACCUAUCAGAUGAGCCUAGGGCGGAUUAGCUAGUUGGGGGGGUAAAGGCCUACCAAGGCGACGGUCCGUAACUGGUCUUAGAGGAUGAUCAGUCACACUGGAACUGAGAAACGGUCCAGACUCCUACGGGAGGCAGCAGGGGGGAAUAUUGGACAAUGGGCGAAAGCCUGAUCCAGCCAUGCCGCGUGUGUGAAGAAGGUCUUCGGAUUGUAAAGCACUUUAAGUUGGGAGGCGUUACCAACAGAAUAAGCACCGGCUAACUUCGUGCCAGCCGCCGCGGUAAUUC